AAUCUUCCAACUUCCUUUUAAUCCCCUUGCAUAAAUUUGUGCCUCCGGCACUGAGCAUAAGUACCAUUAGGUUUCUGUGGUAAGGAUGCAAAAUGCAUUUCAUCAUCAAUCACCAUAAAAGAAGCAUCUAAUCAGGAUUGUACAGCAGGCAGCAUUUUUAUUAAGAACAUUUAUUCUUGAGAGAGAUAAGCCAUGACAUUUUUCGAGGGGGAAUAGAACUUUGAAGGUGUGGAUAUGGAAUUAGAGCUACAGAUUUCAACAAAAUUUCUAACACUGAACCUGACAAAGAGAUAAAAUGAAAAAUCUUACCAUUCAGCACUUGCUACGAUAUCAAAGACCGAGGACGUAGUUCAUUGUCUUCGCAUUUUUUACUGUUUGCUUGAGCAAGCUGUUGGUUCUGUUGCAGCAGUUUCUGCACCAAGCUUUUUUCUUGGAGUAUUCACCAAAUUAGCCUCCAUUGCUUUUCCUACUUUUGCUUAAUUCAUCAAUUUCCACUUUAAGCAGAGGUGGAGCUAAGUGGAGGAAAGUGAAUUCAAUUAAAUCCCUUUGUCAACUUUUAUACUCUGCAAAUGGCAAAAAACAUUUUUUUUUUGGUUACAUAUAAUCUGUUGAAUUCCUUGAUAUUAGGAAAAAGUCUAGUCAAGUGACAUAGGGUUCAAAAUUUGCUUUAGAUCACACCUUCAAAUUCCAUACUUGACAUUAUUUAUUUUUUGUAAUCACCUUAUAAAUUAUUGGCUUCGCCAUUCCCUUUAAGAACCCUAAUUUCUUCGCAAGAAACGAAAUAUCAUUAACUUUUACAACUAAUUCAACUCUUUAACAGCAGAGAAACUAAUAACUAUGCUUAAAUCAAUAUUUAGAAUUUGGAAGCUUGAACAAUUAGAACUAUUUUGUAAAUAAAUUAAACAUUUAUGGUCGAAAUUCACAACAUAAGAUAAUUGUUUAAUCUUUUAUAAUAAGCAAUAAGAACUCAAAUAAAAAUCCUGAAAAUAGGAAUGCAAAUUAUGGCUUUAGUAAAAUUUAGGAAUGGAAGAGGAACUUACAACUCGAUAUCGCAGGAGAGAGAUAUUUGUGAGGAGUUUCGCGGGAACCUCGUCGCCGAGGAGUUCGCCGCCGAAAUGUAAUUUGAAAUUGGGGCCGAAUGUAAGUCGGACUUUGGGUCCUUAUUUGGUAAAAAUGGU
rnacentral:lncRNA from 1 species